UACGAGGGGGGCGAGCGUUGUUCGGAAUUAUUGGGCGUAAAGGGUGCGUAGGCGGCCUGACAAGUCUGAUGUGAAAUCCCUGGGCUCAACCCAGGGCCUGCAUCGGAAACUGUCGGGCUUGAGUAUGGGAGAGGUGAGUGGAAUUUCCGGUGUAGCGGUGAAAUGCGUAGAUAUCGGAAGGAACACCAGUGGCGAAGGCGGCUACCUGGACUGACACUGACGCUGAGGCGCGAGAGCGUGGGGAGCAAACAGG
rnacentral:rRNA from 1 species